GUUGUAUGGUUAAGUGACUAAGCGUACACGGUGGAUGCCUUGGCAGUUGGAGGCGAUGAAGGACGUACUAACUUGCGAUAAGCUAAGUCAAGCCAGUAAGAGGCACUUGAGACUUAGAUU
rnacentral:rRNA from 1 species